GUGGCCGGGAUGCGGGCAGGGGCGUGGCUGAGCUGGACGGGCAGACUCACAACAUGAAGUCCUGCUCCCAGCUGGGCUGGCUGCCGCGCACCGCGAUGGUCGUGCUCUUGACAUUCUGCACCUUCAGGGUCACCACCUGGACCAAACCGAAGCAAUCGAAGGACUAUGCCUGGAGAAGAAGUUCUUCCCCUGCCCCCCGCCCCAGGGAACCCGGGUCCUCCUGACCCCAGAGAUGGUCGCGCACCCCCUUCUCACCGCCCACCCUCUGUUCUGCGCCCUCGGAGACAGGGUCUGGCUGAGUGGCUUAGGGCCUCAAUGUUGCUGAGGCUGGCUUGGAACUCGCACCCUCCUGCCUCAGCUGCGCCCAGCAUUCCGCGUCUCUGGACGGGUGCGUGGAAGCCGUGGAGCAAUGAAUUCCUAGAAACAGGACCGUGUAGGGACAGGUGCCACAGCCUCUUGGCGUGCCCUUGGCUAAGAUUCUAGGAUCCUGAAUUUUAACUGAAGGGGCCUCCAGUCUUGGGGCACUUGUGACCUGCCAGAUGAGGGGGGCAGUGUGAAGGGAAGGGGGAGGGGAACCCAGCCAUCAAGGAGAGACCCGAAAGCCCACUCCCCUGAUGUGCUCACUGAGUGUCAGAAUAUACACAGUGCAAGGCCACCAUAUCAAAGGGUGGCUUUGGCAUGGGGGUGGGGAACAUAGAAAAUCCAGAAAUAGAUUCCAGGAUAUUUGACGGUUUCCCGUGUGAUGCUGCUGGCAGACACUUCAGAGGAAGACGGAUGAGCUCUAUGAUAUAGGGCGUUGACCCUGCGGGUUUUGCACGGGGCAGAGAAUAAGCGAGGACUCUCAGACUCUACUGGAGGAAAUAAGCUGGAGGCAGACUGAAGCCUUCUGUGUGAAAAACAAACAUGCCAAGAACCCAAGGAUCAGUGAUCCUGUGCUGCUUACCACGGACCACUAAGAAUUAGGCCCAGUGUAAACAGUCGUAGUUGCUCAAUAAAUGGCGAUUCGCUAAAGGC